rnacentral:tRNA from 1 species
UGCGGAGUGGAGCAGGAGUAGCUCGCUUGGCCCAUAACCAAGAGAUCGCUGGUGCGAGUCCAGCCUCCGCAA